rnacentral:tRNA from 1 species
AACAAAGAAGUAAAAUUUACAUUUAGUUUCGACCUAAUAAUAAGAGUAAUUCUCAUGUUU